rnacentral:rRNA from 1 species
GACGAACGCUGGCGGCGUGCUUAACACAUGCAAGUCGAGCGGUAAGGCCCUUUCGGGGGUACACGAGCGGCGAACGGGUGAGUAACACGUGGGUGACCUGCCCUCAGCUCUGGGAUAAGCCUGGGAAACCGGGUCUAAUACCGGAUAUGACUCCAUGACGCAUGUUGUGGGGUGGAAAGCCUUGUGCGGCUGAGGAUGGGCCCGCGGCCUAUCAGCUUGUUGGUGGGGUGAUGACCUACCAAGGCGACGACGGGUAGCCGGCCUGAGAGGGCGACCGGCCACACUGGGACUGAGACACGGCCCAGACUCCUACGGGAGGCAGCAGUGGGGAAUCCUGCGCAAUGGGCGAAAGCCUGGCGCAGCGACGCCGCGUGAGGGAUGACGGCCU